GUGCUCACUUCAGCAGCACGUACGCUAAAAUUGGAAGGACACAGACAAGAUUAGCAUGAUCCCUGCGCAAGUAUGACACGCAAAUUCAUGAAGCAUUCCAUAUUUUU